UUUCAUAAUUUGUUUUAUCAAGUGAACAUACUGAUUUUGUAGCCACUGAAUGCGCAGUUUCCCGUUUAGACCUUUCUUUCACUCUCUUACACCAGCUGUGAAGAGAUUCUCUCACACUCUCAGCAACUAAGGCUUUCUUCCACCGCGAUCCCAUCUGAGUAACAAUUACGUUCAGAGGCACUGUGCUAUAGCUACACCAGAACUGAACAAGAAUCCCAGAAGCUAGCCGAAUAACUACCAUCGUAUGGUUUUUCAUGANGACCAAAUGAAUGUCGCCAUCUCGAAGGCAUUCUGAAAAAUGAUAAACUGUAUCAGCCUUAACAGUAUCUCAGGUUUUCCAAACCAAAACAGAUCAUCC
rnacentral:misc_RNA from 1 species